rnacentral:rRNA from 1 species
UACUCCUACGGGAGGCAGCAGUAGGGAAUCUUCCGCAAUGGACGAAAGUCUGACGGAGCAACGCCGCGUGAGUGAUGAAGGUUUUCGGAUCGUAAAGCUCUGUUGUUAGGGAAGAACAAGUGCGAGAGUAACUGCUCGCACCUUGACGGUACCUAACCAGAAAGCCACGGCUAACUACGUGCCAGCAGCCGCGGUAAUACGUAGGUGGCAAGCGUUGUCCGGAAUUAUUGGGCGUAAAGGGCUCGCAGGCGGUUUCUUAAGUCUGAUGUGAAAGCCCCCGGCUCAACCGGGGAGGGUCAUUGGAAACUGGGAAACUUGAGUGCAGAAGAGGAGAGUGGAAUUCCACGUGUAGCGGUGAAAUGCGUAGAGAUGUGGAGGAACACCAGUGGCGAAGGCGACUCUCUGGUCUGUAACUGACGCUGAGGAGCGAAAGCGUGGGGAGCGAACAGGAUAGAUACCCUGGUAGUCCA